rfam:Myotis davidii contig49442, whole genome shotgun sequence.
GCCACAUGAUGAUAUCAAGGCUUUGGUGAUUCAGUUGGUUUGGCUAAGCCCAGGGACCUUUGACCUAUUAGGUCUGUAAUCUUGGUGGGCAAUACAGAGUUACGUGUGUUCACUGUAAGGGCAGACCAACAAGAAAUUCUUCCUGCUUUUGAACUAUCUCUCUUUCAUGGAGAUAUUUCUUCCCAGCUGCCAGAAAGAAAUUGUGGUAACUGGAGUGAGUAGGGAGGGACAAGGCAUGUUCAUGGUAUCAGGGUCAAGGGUCCCAAAGGACUUAGCUGGUGUUGUGGCCACUGAGAAAUGAAACACAGAUCUUUGGUAAUCUGAUGGCU